rnacentral:rRNA from 1 species
GGAAUAUUGGACAAUGGGGGAAACCCUGAUCCAGCGACGCCGCGUGGGUGAAGAGGGCCUGCGGGUUGUAAAGCCCUUUCGGUGGGGAAGAAAAGCCUCGACCUAAUACGUCGGGGUCUUGACGUAACCACCAAAAGAAGCACAGGCCAACUUUGUGCCAGCAGCCGCGGUAACACAGAGGGUGCGAGCGUUAAUCGGAAUUACUGGGCGUAAAGCGCACGUAGGCGGCUUUGCAAGUCGGGUGUUAAAUCCCCGGGCUCAACCUGGGAACUGCAUUCGAUACUGCAUUGCUGGAGUAUGGGAGAGGGAAGUGGAAUUUCCGGUGUAGCGGUGAAAUGCGUAGAUAUCGGAAGGAACACCAGUGGCGAAAGCGACUUCCUGGACCAAUACUGACGCUCAGGUGCGAAAGCGUGGGGAGCAAA